CACAGCCCUGCUGUCACAUAAAAGGAAUAAAGAGGUGCUUGUUUCUGAGCCACUUACCAUUUGUUCUCAAUUCCACAGCACAAGCGCGUGGCUGGUGCGCAGCUCCUGGAUCAGCUCCAGCCGCUUCUCUUUCCCUUCAAACAUCUGGAUCAAAUCAAACCAGAGACAGACUUGCAAAUCAGCAUCCCCUGUGCCAGGCACAAGGCCGCGCCUGCAGGUGACUCGUGGGGCACUUCAAAAUCUUUCUUGAAGCAGUAAGUAC